GAUGAACGCUGACAGAAUGCUUAACACAUGCAAGUCUUUGGCGAAGCUGUGCUUGCACAGCCUAGCCAAGGCGGACGGGUGAGUAACGCGUAAGGAACUUGCCCUGCAGUCAGGGAUAACAGACGGAAACGACUGAUAAGACCUGGUAAAGUCAGGCGGACUCAUGUCCAGCCUGAUGAAAAGAGAUGCUGCAGGAGAGCCUUGCGUCCUAUUAGCUUGUUGGUGGGGUAACGGCCCACCAAGGCGAUGAUAGGUAGCCGGCCUGAGAGGGUGGACGGCCACAAGGGGACUGAGAUACGGCCCUUACUCCUACGGGAGGCAGCAGUGGGGAAUAUUGGACAAUGGGGGCAACCCUGAUCCAGCAAUUCUGUGUGCACGAUGAAGGUUUUCGGAUUGUAAAGUGCUUUCAGCAGGGAAGAAAAAAAUGACGGUACCUGCAGAAGAGGCGACGGCUAAAUACGUG
rnacentral:rRNA from 1 species